CCCGCCGCCCCGCUCGGUCCUCGCGCCCCGAGCCUCGCCCGCACACCGGCAGCGAGCCCGCAGCCGAGGCCAAUCGCAGCCCGCUGUCGCGGCGCGCGCAGACCCCGCCUCCCGGCCACAGGCCAAUCCUAGCCGAGCAGUGCCCCAGCCCGCACGCCGACCCCGCCUCCCGGACUUGGCACGGAGGCCCAGGCCCCCGCCCGCCGCCCCGGCAUCGGUCACAAGGACAGAAAAAGAGAAAAGACGAAGCCGUGAAGGAUACAGAAACCACCACCACCACCCUUAGACUGUUAAGGACCCAGUUACCUGUGCCUGGCCCCGAGCUCGAGGAUCGCAGGAAGAGACGGAGGCUGGGCAAAGGCAAGCAGGGGUUCCUCAGCCUGAGACCGCGCAGCCAAACAUUCAGUCCUGCCGCAGGUAUCCACAGGGGUCUUGGGACAUAUUUCCUGAGGAUAAAGGAGGUCUACUGUACAUUUUUCACCUUCCUCAACAAUCCCUAGAGCCCACAUUCCCUCUAGAUCUUUCUGUAUGUCAGACUUUGGGUUCUAAACUAAAUGUCUUGAAAGCCUGUGUGCUUUACCGAGACUGCUGCUUUCGUUGGCCCCCAGCAUUCAGGGAAGUCUCUGACAUCUGCCAUGUUACCUCUAGUUCAAUGGACACGUUUUUGCCCUUAUUCCUCCACCCCCGUCUAUGUGGCAGAUGCAGCUGGAGACCAUUUCCAUCUCAGACUCCCCAGUCUUUUACGUGCACCCCCUAACAGCCAGAGUCCCCAGUUGUAUUCUUCUAACUCCACCCCCCCCCCUCUCGGGCACUUCCUCCACUUCUACUGCCUCAGAUAUGACCUGUUGUCAGAUUGAAUUUUGUCCCCCAAAAAAGUAUAUUAAAGUCUUAACCACUGGAACGUGCGACUGCGACCUUAUUUGGAAAUAAUGGCUUUGCAGAUGUAAUCAAGUUAAGAUGAGGUUGUUGGGAUGGGCCUAAUCCAAUACGACUGGGGUCCUUAUAAGAGGAAACCUGCACGCAGGGAGAACUCCAUGAGACAAGGUGGAAGCUGGGAGUGCCUGGGGCCACCGAAGCUGGAAGUGGCAAGGAAGGAGCCUCCUCUAGAGGUUAUGGAGGGAGAAUAGCCCUGCCAACAUCUUCAUUUCACACUCUUAUCCUCCAGAACUGGGAGACACUAAAAUUUCUGUUAUUUUAAGCACCACGUUUGUGGUACUUAGUUAUGGAAGCCCUAGGAAACCAAUACAUGAGCCAAGUACAGAUGAUUCCCCAGUAUUUCUCCAGCCCAGUUGCUCGCUUCUUGAGCUUCAGACCCAUGAUGGCCAACUGCCAGCUGAAAAUCUUCAAGGUCCCCCAUCUUGGUAAAGGGCACUGCCAUGUCAGUGCCAUAUCCAUGGAUUCAGAGACCCAUGAAUCUUCUUUGACACCUGCCUGUCCUCCCUCACCUUCUGUGUCUGAUUGUCUCUUGGUCCUGUUAGUUCUACAUUCUCACCUCUGCUUAUUUCUUCCAUCCCCACUGCCCCACCUGGGCCACACCAUAAGAACCACUGUGAUAGCCUCUUGCCUACUUGGAUUCCUGCCUCCAUCAGUACCCCCUCCAAUCCAUUUUCUGUGAGUUACCUCACAAGGCAUUCUGCCUUACCACCCUGCUUUAUUUUCACCAUAGUAUUUAUCAGUAUUUGCCUGGUAUUUUCUUGUUUAUAAUUUGUAAACUUUUAAUCUUGUCUAUCUUGUUCAUUGCUGUAUUCUCAUCGCCUAAAACUGUACCUGGCACUUAGUAAUUGACCAAUAAAUAUGUGGCUGAAUGAAUGAAGGCAGCCAGAAAGGUCUGUAAAAUGGAUUUUUUUUUUUAGGCACUACUUAGGCACAUUGAAUAUACACAUUUCCUGUGAUCCAGCAAUUGAUCUUCUGGGCACAUGACCCAGAGAGAUUUUUUACAGAGACAUGCAUGAGAAUGAAGGUGGGAAGUUGGAGGCAACGUGGGCAUACAUCACUGGGAGGGUGACAGGUAAAAUGUGAUGGAUGUACACUGUGGAGUAUUAUGCAGCAACCAGAAGUGACAGGUUAGGCGUACUUACGGCAACAUGGAUGGAUCUAGAAAACAGUGCUUAGAGAAAAAGGGUAAGAAACAGAAUGAGAUAUAUAUAACCAUACCACUUAUGUGAAAAGACACAUUCCCACAAUCAAUAAGCCACAUCUCAUCAGAGUAUAAAAAUAAGGCCAGGUGCAGUGGCUCAUGCCUGUAACCUCAGAGCUUGGAGUCUGAGGCAGGAGGAUCACUUGA